GCAUGUUUUUGAUGCCAAAGGAGCAAUCCGCUUUUAGAUGAGCUCGCGUCUGAUUAGCUGGUUGGCGGGGUAACGGCCCACCAAGGCGACGAUCAGUAGCCGGACUGAGAGGUUGAACGGCCACAUUGGAACUGAGACACGGCCCAGACUCCUACGGGAGGCAGCAGUGGGGAAUAUUGCGCAAUGGGGGAAACCCUGACGCAGCAACGCCGCGUGAUUGAAGAAGGCCUUCGGGUUGUAAAGAUCUUUAAUCAGGGACGAAACAAAUGACGGUACCUGAAGAGCAAGCUCCGGCUAACUACGUGCCAGCAGCCGCGGUAAUACGUAGGGAGCAAGCGUUAUCCGGAUUUACUGGGUGUAAAGGGCGCGCAGGCGGGCCGGUAAGUUGGAAGUGAAAUCUAUGGGCUUAACCCAUAAACUGCUUUCAAAACUGCUGGUCUUGAGUGAUGGAGAGGCAGGCGGAAUUCCGUGUGUAGCGGUGAAAUGCGUAGAUAUACGGAGGAACACCAGUGGCGAAGGCGGCCUGCUGGACAUUAACUGACGCUGAGGCGCGAAAGCGUGGGGAGCAACCAGGAUUAGAUACCCUGGUAGUCCACGCCGUAAACGAUGGAUACUAGGUGUGGGAGGUAUUGACCCCUUCCGUGCCG
rnacentral:rRNA from 1 species